GUCCUCACAGUGUGUGCCGUUGCCCAGGAAGCCCACGGGGCAGGCGCCGCAGGACCAGGAGCCGUCUGGAAAGCUGCUGCACUCGGCACCAGGGAAGCACGGGUUGGACAAGCAACCGUCUGCGAAGGACGACACAGAGCGGGGUCGGCUCGGGCGGGCGCACCCGGGAGGCCGCCAGGACGCAAUCAUCUGCGCCCGGGGAGGCGUCUGUCCAGCACCCGGGUUCAGUAAGGGGAAACUGAGUCACUUGGUACAUGCUGGCAACGUGCUUGCCCUCCCAGAAUUUAUCUUUAAAUAGUAAAAGAUAGGGGCGCCUGGGUGGCUCGGUCGGUUAAGCGUCCGACUUCGGCUCAGGUCACGAUCUCACGGUGCGUGGGUUCGAGCCCCACGUCGGGCUCUGUGCUGACAGCUCGGGGCCUGGAGCCUGCUUCGGAUUCUGUGUCUCCCUCUCUCUCUGCCCCUCCCUGAUGCACAUUCUGUCUCCCUCUCUCUCAAAAAUAAAUAAACAUAAAAAAAAAAUAGUAAAGAUAGAGGCUACAGGCGCAUAGGCGCAUGGGUGGCUGACGGGUGAUCAUCGUCACGCAGGAUGUUCCACAAAACCGUGGAGGAGCACGGCUGUUAAAAGCAGUUGUCCUCAUGAGCAUAGAACUAAUCUCUCCCUUCUAUAUUUCCUACUUUUCUACUUUUUAUGUCUUCUAUUUUUAUGUUUUUAACCAGAAUAAAAACACGGUGGCUUCUUCAGAGGGGCUGAAGCGUGCAGACCACAGGGACACAGGCGCUUUCGUGUCCCGCCCGCACACCCACCUACAGGACAGCUCCUCCUAUUGCACAUCUGACGCUCUUGGACGUCCCCCACGCAGUCCUUGCCCCCGUGCUGGGGCUCGGGGCUGUUACAGACGCGCGUCCGCUCCCGGAUCCCUCCGGCACAGGGGGAGAAGUCCCACAGACCGGGGUCUAGAGGCAGAAAGCUGCCCACACAGGCACACCUGCCAGGUCACAGAGCAGGAAGACCACGGCGACCAGUGGCUCCAGCCCCCGUCCUGCCGGACUAGCACACAGAGGAACACGGAGACAUCAGGGUGAGGCAGGGGCUGGCCGUCCCAGGCGUCUGCUCACGCCCAAGCCGGAGAGCCCGUCCCUGCGAUCUGGCCCCGCCCUGCGGACGAGGAGUGGCCUCUGACACUCACUUCGGUG